rnacentral:lncRNA from 1 species
AAGAAUCCCCCUUUCUCCUGUAUACUUUAGGCUUCUUUUCCUUUUUCCGUCUUCAUCUUUAGAAUCGAUUAAAUUUAGUCCAGUAUUCGAUUUAUAGCUCCUCUUGCCAGACAUUUGAUAGGAUUUCCUUUGAUUUCUUGCAAGCAUUCGGUUUGAGCCCCACUGGGAGUUGAAUAAAUUACUUAACCACAGGAAAAAAUUAUCUUCUUCUGGAUUUAUUAAUUCCUGGAACAAUCUAUAGACCGCUAGUUCUUUCCGGCAGAACCGUCAAUUAGAUCUCGGGCCUGGGAAAAUUUUGAAGGACUUCGUUUGCUCAUGAUCAAUGUCAGAUGGGUUUUUAGCCUAGAAGAAUGAUCGUGUGCCAGUGUUGUGUAGCUGAUAAAAUUAGUGAUCAGAUGGCUAUAGACUGCAGCGGAAGUAUGGGAAGUCCAACUGGAUUGGCACUGGAAAUAUCAGUUGGAUGACUACAUGGAUGAUCAAAAAUUAAUGCAUCCAAAUUAUGACCUGGGGGCUCCACUUGACGGGAAAGAUGCUCUCAUGUUUAUUUUUGAAUUUUUCGUCACACCCCAAUGUACUGGGGAUUGUGUUUCAGCUCAACUAGUUGGCUUAUAAUUUUGUCCGUUUAGAGAAAUUCAAUUGCUUGGGUGAAGCCUCAUCAUCUGACCUAUCUGUUUAGACUUUUACCAAGAUCAGGGGAAUCUUAAUGGGGCACCAGAAAGUUUCAUAAGCUUAAAUUAUGACUGAUGGGGCAGGUCUAUUCUUGCUAGCCUUUUGGGUUUCAGUCUUUCAGAACAGAUCUCCCCCCUGCCACUGCAAGGAACUCGACACUAAUUUGAUAGGGAUGACCUAAAAUUGUCAACUGGUCAACAGAAUGUACUUGAUCCCUCUAUAGAGCCUUCUUGACCAAGAGUUAUGUUCCAUAACUGACCCUAUUCCAAUGAGUGUAGGUUUGGAUGGUGAUUAUGAGUCAACACCUAAGGCAUGUUAGAAGGGGUCAUCUUUAGCUUUUAUUUGUAAAAGAGAUAUAAUGGCUAGCUCAAAAAAUAGGCGGAACAAUAUUGGAGGCCUUCUACAUAUUAUGUGUUAUCAAUGUCUGAAAAGGCAGGGACAUAAGGCUUGGUGCUAGAACAUUUUAGGUUUUUUUUUUUUUUAAAGCAAUGAUACUUUCUUCUUGGUGAUGACUUAAUCAAGACCCUUGGGUGUCAAUUGUCAAGACAUAACAAUAGUACCACUCCUUCAAUAGUUAUGUUGCUAAAAAAUUGACCAUAUCGAUCAGUAUAAUCAUAUCUCAAAACUCUAAAACCUGAAGCCUAACCUUGGAUCUAUAUGUACUACCCUAUCCCUGUUUGUCCCAUAAUAAAUAUUUUAUCUAGCUCUUUUACAUCUACUAGUUCAUUUUAAAUUGAUGGCAAGCAAUGUCUUAAAUUUUUGACAACUUGUAAAUUUAAUUCCUGGUUUAGGAAACCCACUAGAAAUUUUGAUGUACUUUUAAACCUCUCAAUUACCCCUAUACUUUUAGCAUUGAAGAUCCAAUUUGUAAUUAAAACUGUCUUGCAUCCAAUUUGUUAUCAAAUUUCUCCAAAAUUCUUUAUUACCAAACUCUAUUUUGCACCCAUCUCGGUGUUAAAUCUUUCCAAGUUCUUGUUUGCAUUUAUUUUCUUGUGAGUUGGAUAUUAUUAUUCAAAUACUUUUCUAGGAUCCAAUAUGUUGAUAGGUUUGGAAAGGUUUUAAUGUAUUUUCAAAUGAUAAAGAGUUUGAGGCAGCAAAAGGGGAGGAGAGAUUAGGCAGUAACUUUUUAAGGAGGAAAUUAACUUGUUUAGGAUCUAAGAAAGGUCAAUUAGUAUAGAUGGCUACCCACCAUACAGCUUCUAAAAAGUUUAGCUUAUUUCAUUCUUUUCUUCUUCCUAUUCUUGCGUUUAAGUAAUGCUCUUCUUUUGUUUAAGUGAUGGUCUUAUGUUACUAUGAUCUUUAUAUGAGGAUACCAUUGGGCAAUGAUAUGUACUGUGUGCUGCAUGAUAUUCUGAAAAGUACACAGAUUUUGUAGGCUUGGUUGAGGGUCUCUGGCUUAUGACAGCUUUUUAUGUUUCUAUACUUUGAGAGAGCAACUUUUUAAUAAUCCUGUCUCAAUGGAUCCUACAUUUUAAUUAUCCCUUUCAUCCAAAAUUCCUUGUUGAUUGUUAUUCUGAAUGAAUCCCUGUUCUGUAUUUUUUUCUCAAGCUCACAAUGUUUAUAAUAGAAUUUGUAGAUAUGGGAUGUUGCAUGCUUACCUUUUGUCUGCGUCAAUGUGCUAUACUAAUAUCUUUUUACUCAGAGUUUGACCCUACAUAUUCUUUAUUUCUUUCCUCCUGAAUUACUAAAUUUGAAUACUCAAAAUUCAGGUCAGAGAUGAGGAAGGUCGCAGAAGAUUUCAUGGUGCAUUCACUGGAGGCUUUUCUGCUGGCUACUACAAUACUGUUGGUUCAAAAGAGGGUUCGUUCUUUUAAGAAUUACUGAAAAUUGUUUUAUGGGUGAAAUUGGGCAGCAGUCUGAAGAAUCUGGUAGAAAUUAAUUGCAGGAUGGACUCCACAGACAUUUACGUCAUCACGCAAAAAUAGAGCUGAAGUGAAACAGCAGACUAUAUAUAAUUUUUUUGAUGAAGAUGAUAUUAAGGUAUUUCCUGUGAUUUUUUUUUUGUUGUCUCCUGUUCAAUAUCGGUUGCAUUUUCAAGGCAUGGAAGAUAUUUGGCCCUUUAUUAUCUUCUAGAAUAGGUUUACAUUUUUCUUAGAUUAACUACAGUCAAGGAUCAAUGUUUUCAUUUUGGCAGAGAUCUCGGCUAAGAUGUUGGUUUGCAUUGGUACUGGGCACUCGCGCUCAGCCAUUAUUAUCUUGGCUUAUAUAAACCAAUAUAUAUCAGCUGAUGCAAUAUAAAAACAUCGGUCGAACUUCCUUGUAAAUAUUUUAUGAUCUUAAAAUUUCUCUUUUGCUAUUAAAUAUUUAAGUUAAUGUCUUAAUGUGUUCGCUAAUUUUGCAUUUACUGUAUUUACUUAGAUUCCAAUAUCUUAUUUCCUAAAAUACUGGCUGGGCUCUUCUUGGCUGAGACAAACCAAGGCAUCAGUCUGUUUUGGUGUUGGCUAUCCACUGAGUGGCUGAGUUUUUCAGUUUUAGAAACAUUGACAAAAUCUUUAAAAUCCUACCAAAAUAGUAAUUUCUUUUUGUAUUCUAAGAGAGCUUGCUAAAAUUAAAGCACCGUUUUCCAUUAUUAUUAUACAUAAACUUUAAAAUGGGCCUGUUACCUUCACAAUACCGCUUACUUUGUUGACAUCAGAUGCAUUCAUCUUGUUUAGAAGCACCUCAUCUUUAUUCUACUAAUACAAUUAUAUACAAUUAUAUACACUUUAUAUAUUACACAUGCUUUGGUAGUGACUGAAGCACUCAUUUGGUUUUUCCUUCACAUGCUAUUAAAAACCAAAAGGCUUUGGUCAUUUUAUCAUCUGCAUUAUAUAUUGUCAUUUUGCUUGAUUCACGGACAAUUUUUUGCAUGUGGUUGGAUACUAAAUCAUCCUUUAAAUCCUUAAGUAAGUCACCAGGUUCAAGCAUGUUAUAAUCUUUGAUUAUUGGAAAUAAUUAUAUAACACUAUACUUUAAGAUUAAAAUGUCAAAUAGCUGUAUUAAUAUGAUUUUAGGGUGCCUUCAUGUGACAGGUCUUCUGAAAGUAUUAGAUAAACCAAGGGAUCCAUUUAGACUGAGUUAUCGUGCCUGAAAGUGCUGUUCAAUAUCCAAUCUUAUCAAUGUUACUUUCUUUUCCAGAAAGCUGUGUAAUUUAUAGCCUUAGCAGAAAGUGUCAUUGAUAAGUGUUGGAUAAUCACAGUUAUUUUUAUUUGACUACAAGAUUAUGAUCUGGGUUCUUACAAGUUCCAAUCAUUGUGCUUAUGACAUACAGGGUAUGGGAGGGCAUGCGUUGGAGACAUCCCUGCAAUUUGAUACCUUUGGAUUUACUGCUGCAGAAUUUGCCCGUAAGAAGGCAGAGAAGGAACAACAGAAGAGGUCAUUUCAACCUUGUUGUAUGGUUUACUUGCCAGAAUAUAAUAAAUUUUAAACUUGAUGUAAUGUUGUUGUAGCUUAGCCUUCAUAGACUUCAGAUCAAACAAAUCCUUUCCAAACAAUGACAAACUUUAUCCUGUCAGUCUGGGGCCAGCUACAUCAAAAUCAACCUCAGAAAUUUCUUCCAAACUCUUUUUCUACAAGCAGUUUUCCUUUUCCCCACUGCCCCUCUCUUUUCUUCUCUCUCCUCUCUUCUUUCCUUUCUCUUCUCUCCUAUAAGUUCUGGUAUUCUCGUCCCUCUCCUUCUAUCCUUUUAUGUCUUUCUUAUCACCUCUUAAGAGGGAUUGCUAAGUCUUGUCCUCCUUUCUAAUUUUAUUGUACUGGUAUGGACUAGAGUGAGAAUGGGUUGGAUUUUGGUUAGGGUCAGUUGGCCUAUUCAUUUUUUUGGGUUGAAAAAAUAAACUUUACCCAACCUAUUUAUUUUUAUAUGGGCCGAUGCUCUGCCUGGAAACAUAGUUAGAGCUCUACCAAUCAAUUAUUUUCCUUAAAAAAAUGAAAACAAAACAGAGUAAAAAGAGGGAGUUAGAGUUGGAGGUCCUAAAAAAAACUAAGAGAGAGGAGAGAUGGAAAUGAAAGUGUACCAAAAAAAAAGAUGUAUCAUGUCCAUGGUGCCUGAUUCAUUUUUCUUUUCAUUGCUUAUUUAUAGUUUCCUCACAGGUUGUUUUGCAAUCCAGUGCUAUUGUCUCUUUUUUGCAUCUUUGUCAAAGUUUCUCAACUUUUCUGUCUAAAUGCUUCAUUUGUUUAUUUUUUCCCUUUCAACAAUCUUCCAUCUGCAUAUUGUCAUUACUUACCUCCUUUGUUCUUGGGGUUGGCAGUAUAUUGUUCUCAAUUAGUUACACAACUUGCAAAAUUAAAUUAGAACUACAUGGGCUGUCCCAUUAUACAGUGCAGAUGGAAAUCUUUUCAUCUAAGUUGGAAAUGGAAUUUAUAAUGUGCUUUCAGCAUAGUUUAGGCCCUGUUUGUCAUCACUUGUGGUUUAUGGUUUUCAGUUUUCUUUUCUUUUUUUUUUAAACAUGAAAGUUAAAUCAGAAUGGUGUGUGGUAAUUUCAUUUCUUUUUUUUUAGUUUCUCUUUUUUUCAAAACAAAUUGAUAUCCUGAUUUUUUGAAAAUGUGAAGCUGAAAAAUCUGGUUUCUAUAUAUUUUUUUUUUUGAAAACCAAAACUGCCCACGAUGCUCACUGCCACCUCUGUUGGCACACCUUGCUGGCCCGAUAGCACUGCAAUGGGUACCCUUGCGGGCCUAGUAGCUGCUGCCACCACUGCUACUACCACUAUUACCACUUCUAUUACCACCACUGCCACCAGCAUCUUUGCAACCUAGCCGCUGCCAAAUGCAAUCUACGCGAUCAUCAAAUAAUUUUCAGGUCUUCGGUUGUGAGAAAUAAAAAAUAGAAAACCGGGUUGAGUGAUGCCAAAGGAUACCUUAACUUAGGGGUGCAAACCGGAAGUGAUGCCAAAGGUUCAAUUUCAGCAGCUUGAUCUUGGCUUGCUAAGAGCUUGUUUGAUCUCGACUCAUCUAGGAAAUCAAACACUUUUUAGAGCUCAGCUCAUAAACGAGCUAAUCUGGAAUGCUGAUGUUGUUCAGAUAUAAUGGAAAAGCUUGCCCGGGCUCAGGGCUUAGCCAAGCCACGCUUGAACAGGUUAUGUUGAGCUCAGCUCGAGUUUGAGACACGCUCAAGCAGCUGUUUGGUUCCAAGCUGAGCUUGAGCAGCCUGGUACUUGGCCUUGACUUGGCUUGUUUGCACCCCUACCUUAACUUAGUAUAAGUGGUGCUACUCUUUUUUAUAACACUGGAGAAAAUUCAUUAAUGUUAAUUGGAAAAUAUAAAUUCAGUUGAGUUGAUUUGUUACUGGAAGUAUGAUCAACCCAGUUGUGACAUGAAACAUUCCUGGAUAUUGCAUUGUUUGGCCUCCUUAUAAAUGUAAUCCUGCAUUUUUUUCCAUUGCAGACCAUCAGCUAUUCCUGGACCUGUUCCUGAUGAAAUAGUUCUUCCUGCAGCAAAUUCUAUUGGUUUGUUUUGUUUUUUUAUUGUAAAUUUGAUUCAGUAACCAAAUUUUCUUGGCCCAAAGUUUUCUACUUUGGUACCAUUACAUUUCAAUCUUAAUUUUCUAUAGGUAUAAAGCUAUUGCUGAAAAUGGGAUGGCGUCAUGGUCAUUCUAUCAAGGACACACAUACUGAUUCCUUGUAUGGUAUGCUUUUUGGGUGCCUUGUGGCAUUAGCGAUAUUUGUGGCCUUCAUGUCUCUAAACAUACUUAGCCUUGCAUUCGUAUGUGUUUGAUAUUAAGUUAUUUGCUAUUCUUCAAAUAUUUUUGUUUUGGGAUACUGUGAGAUUUAUGGUACUCAAAACACUUAAGGUUUAUUGCGAGUGCCCAGAUAUCAGAUUGACUUGACUAUGUAGUGGUAGUUGAUAGCAGUCACUUCACCUUAUUUGGUCCAAAUUUUGAUAAAUAACAAAAUCUGUUUGUACCAAAAAAAAUCUUGUACUUUUUUAAAGCAACUUUAUUACUUUUAUUAUUUGUGGUUCGAUUUUAAAUCUUAUCCGAUCCAUAUUUUAUAUUUCUGGUCAGUUUUUGGUAGCUAUUUCAAUUAUCUUACAACUUGUGACCUAAUCCUACCAAACAAAUUGAAUCAAAUACUAUUAAAUAUUUUGUUACAAAAUUGUCUACUAGAGAUCUAAUCUUUUAACAUUUGAUAAUGUUCAAUUAAAAGAUCUCCUCAAACAUGCAUAGAGUGAUAAUUACAUGUGGUCUUGAUAAUCACAGUAAUGUGAUGGAGAUCUUUUUUCCCUAUGAAAUCACUCGACCAGUUGCUUUCAGCUUGUAAAGGUACUUCUUUGUGGCAUAUCUUUGAAGCAAAUUAAGCUGCAUUUUAUGGAUUUAUAUUAUGGAAUAUACACACAUACAUAUACCUGUAUGUAUAUUGGAUGCAAAAUCCAGGUUAUAUAGAACUUCGUACUUUUUUUUGGGGGAAAAUUAUGGUUUUCUUUUGGUUCUUGGAAUUUAAGAUACGGAGUAUCUAUCUGUAGAACUUCAUACUUUCUGUUCUUACUUUAUAUGAUUUUAUGAUUCUUCUUUAUUGGAGGGUUUUGGGGGAGAGGGCGGGGUUCUGGGGGUUUCACAGAUGCCUUUAUUUAAUGGUCCUGAGGAUGGUUUGAAGGGUUGCAUAGCUUUGAAAGAUAUUGCAGUAAUGUUCCCAGAGGUUUUGCAUCUUGGUGCCUGUAUAAAUUCAUAUACUCAAUUUGUAAAAAAUUAAUAUGUGAAAACAGAUUCUUCCAUUAGGGCAUCAUCAUGCUAUCAGCUUUUUUGAUUAAAAUUUUAUUGGUGAUAUCUUUUGUUCUUGCAGUAUUUUAGUAAGUGUUGGGAUUUAACCAUGCAUCUGAUCUAAAUUUUUGUUGCUUUUAGAAGCACGCAGAGAAGCUAGAAAAGCAUUCCUGGCCUUUUCUGGUAAUGACGGAGGACCAGAACUUGCUCAAAAUGAAUCAAGCAGGUCUGACUCUGAAGAAUGUAGUGAAAAAUGCAAGGAUGGCAUCUAUGCUUCUCAAAAUACUCCUGUGAGUAAUUUGACACAGACCUUUAUUAAUGAGUUAUUUGUUUCUCUAUAUUUGGAAAAUGGUAGUUUUCCUCAUAUGGUUAACAUCUUUAGUUCUUUUCAUACAACCAGUCAGAAAACAAUGUCUUCUCUUACACCUCCUAUAUUUUAGAUGUAUGUACUACAUCCGAAGCUGGAUUUACAUGGAUUGGGUUAUGAUCCGUUCAAGCAUGCUCCUGAAUUUAGAGGUAAUGGAAUCUAGUAAGUUGAUUAUUGUGCUCCAUUGCCAUACUUGAUUGGAAUUUCUCUAAGACAUUUGAUUCAUCCUUUUCAGAUAGGAAAACAUUCCAUGAAUCUAAAAAUAAGGAUCGUCAUUAUAGAAGUGAUGUUUCAAUGAAGGGGAAUCUUUUAGCUUCCAACUGUAAGAUAUCUUUAUCUGCCUGGAUUUCAGAUUUGACUGCAUUUGUAGAAUUUACGUAGGAAUGUCCCUUUGAGUGUUGUUGCCUAUUCAUUAUCAUCAUAAUACUUCAGCCUGUUGUCACUUGGAUUUACAACUUAAUCAUGGACUCAAUCAUCAGCAGGAAAAUAUGCCCCAGGCUUCGGAAUCGGAGCACUUGAGGAACUUGAUAUUGAAGAUGAGGAUAUUUACGCAUCAGGUAAGUAUUAGCAUGAUUAACAUUCUGCCAUGAUCACAUCAUACGUCAAUCAAUUUUCCAACAACUGGAAGCUAAUAGUUUUUGUUUGAAAACUGUCAGUCUAUUGACUAAUGUUUUGCUGCUAUUUUAUUUGGAUGCAAAGUUUUGCCACAUUUCAAUAAAUUAUUGAAGAAGUUUAUAGAACAAAAAAGUACUUCCUUGAGAAACAAAUAAUUGAGACAUGCAUAUGUUCCAUUUCCAAUUAGGGUAGCGGAAUGCCACUUAAUUCACAUUUGAAGUUUGAGCACAAGUUUUUUAAUGCAUUAUGAGUAUGGUGCUUGAUAAUAUCUAAGGGAUGGUAACUCUUUUAAUCCUUUAUCAAUCUCGUUGUGGAUAGGUCAUGCUUUGUUGUCUAGCCAACCAAUUAGUGCACACAAAAAGGACUUGUAUUACCUCUUAACCGAUUCAUCAUUUUCUUGGAUUCUCUUAAUAAAAGAGGGUAAUUCUUAAUGUCCUCGGAAGAUGUUUUGGUAUUAAACACUUCUAUGAAAUUCUUGCUAGCAGAACUUGCAUUCAAACUAGUAUUGUCCUUUUACAGGUUAUACUUUGUGAUCAUACUCACAUGAAAGCAUAUCAUUCAGACAAUGCAAAACUGCAGGUUUUUACAUGUCGUGACAUGACAAUGAACCCAUCAGAAUGAAGUUUAACUAGUUUUUAUUUUAUCAUCAUAUUUCUAGGCAUUGCACUUAAUAAUGGUUAAAAAUCUUUUCCUUCCACUCUCUCGCUCCCCUUUUUUCUUAAUAAUUAUCUUGUCUUGAAAACUCAAGUUUUUAUUUUUUAUUUUUUGCUUCUUCAAAUUAAGUGCUUCCAUUUUCAAUAGUUAAACCAAUUUAAAGAAAGCUAUUAGCUAAUUAAUUGGAAACCAACCAUGAGCUCUGGCGGAAAAUCACUUUAUGUUUCUACAUUUUUUUAAUUAGAAGGUGCAGUCAAAAAUAACAUUUGUGGGUUUAAUGCAACAUUUACCUGAAAAUAUAUCCUUUGAGAGUAAUAUUUGGAAAAUAUACCUUUUGUUAGAAUCACCUUAAUGGUUCUAUACUUCUAGCUUAAAGGCAUCGACUAGAUUUCCAACGAAUCAAUUAUGAUCCUAGACUACUUAUAGAUAAAAUAGUCAUAUUCCUAUAGAACUUAAUUGCGUGCUGUCUCUUACUGGCUUGAAUCCUUUAUCAAUUUUAGAUCCAAUUGUAUCCUGCAUGUUCCUUUGAUUGAUUCUGUUCUGCUAUUAUACUAAAGAACUGUGUUUUGUUCAAACAAACUAUAAUGCUUCAGGCCUUUCCAUCCCAAGUUUUGCCAGACUGUAACUUUAUGCUUCAUAUGUAUUCGUAUGGCCCACUUUUUUAUUGUCUAGUCUGUCUCUCUCUGAAACAUGGGUCAUGAAUGAUACUGAUGAGGCAAUGUUGUAAGGUAUCGUAAGAACCUUCAAUCCACAGGAUGAAGUUUCUGUUUCUAUCGUGAUUGUCUAUGAUGCAUCUAGGCUCAAUAAAGAUCAUUUUAACUCAAUUAACUGUCUUAGCUUGUAGAGUUGUUCUAGUGCUAUUUCUUAUUCUCUAAAAUAUCGUUUAUAGGUUUUGACUUUGAACAAACUGAAGUUGAAGAAGUUGAGCCUUCAAGAAUUAUCAGACACAAUAAGUAUAAACUGGAAGAUAAAAAGCAGGGAGUUCUGCCUGGUUUUAAAGUUGCAUCGAUUUCCGACUACAAUGUUGUAAGGUAGCUUUAACACAUCACAAGAUUCCCUGAUUCAUAAUUUUGUAAGGCCUUUUUUUUCCUAUAUUUGUUUUCACCUUCAUGAAUUGCAUUCUUUACUAAAUACCUGAGUGGAGCUUAUUAGUGGAUAAUAGAUACUAUUCAUCAAUGGUUGGCCCUUUGUUUAUUUUGGAGAUGCACCUUGACUUAUAUUGACUUGCUGCUCAAAUUUACUUUCAGAUUUCUCCCUCCUGUUAUUCCAGCUGAUUUUGAGCCAUAUCACAAGUUUCCUACCCCUCUUGAGAUGGAAGAUAAGUUAGCUGAGUUACCUCCUCCUGAGGUACCUCCUCCAGAAGACAAUAAUUUGAGACUGUCGAUCGAAGGGCUUGCAACUUUGGUUGCUCGUUAUGGGAAACAUUUUGAAGAUCUCUCCAAGGAGAAGCAUAGAUCCAAUCCAUUAUUCUCAUUUCUUAAUGGAGGAAAUGGCCACAGUUAUUAUGCAAGAAAGUUGUGGGAGGAGAAGCAAAAAAAGUUGAUCAGCGAAGGAUGGAAGAUGUAAAAUCCAAGUCAUCUGUCCAAACAAUGACUGCAGACAGUCGUGGAAGAAUUCUUGGUGAAAAGCCCUUGGAGAGAAGCUCCAGUGGAUCUAGCUCAUCUACUGCCUUCAAAGAAGUCGUCCAUUUCCAGUCCAAUCUUUCAGACACAUUUACCAAACCAAACUCUCUUGUAACUUUCUAUUCGUCGCUUAUUUUCUCCCAUCUUAUUCAGUAGCAAUUUUCUGUCUAAUAUCAUUUAGCUGGAUCCCAUGAAGUUAGUUUCUUGAGAAGGAUAAUACUUACACUAAGGCUUGUCCGGGCUGUAGGUCGAGUCAUCAGAAUCUGUAAAACCUUUCAAAAAUGAUCCUGCAAAGCAAGAAAGAUUUGAGUAUUUUCUUAAGGAUAAGUACGAAGGUGGCCUCCGUUCUACACAGGCCUUGGGUAGUAGUAUCAUGUCGGAGGCUGAUCGUGCCCGCGAGAGACUGGACUUUGAGGCUGCAGCAGAGGCAAUUGAAAAGGGCAAAGGGAACACAAAAAUUUGUGUUCCAUCAACCCACACAGUUUUGCCAGGACUUGGGGAGCAGUUCUUUAUACCAUCAACCGGAGUAGAGGUAUAUUUUGCAGUGUUUGCAGGGUUUCUGUUAGCUCAUAUCCCUUUUGAGAACUGAUUUAUGAUGCAUGUUGAACAUGUUCAAGCAGAAACAUGACAUUUCUCAAGAUGAAGAAAAGAUAAUGAAUAAGUUUUACCCAAAGAGAGAAGAGUUUCAGUGGCGACCUACACCCAUUCUAUGCAAGCGAUUUGAUAUCGUCGAUCCUUUCAUGGGGAAGGUAAAUCUGUCCAUAAUUAGCAUUGCACUGGGAAAGGUUUUUUUAUUCAACAUGAUUAGCAAGACUCUUUUCAAGGUUUUUCUAUGUGCAGAUUGAGGAAUAUUGCCUUUUGUCUUCUAGUAAUUUAGCUAAAUAUUGCUUGUCUGAGUUCUGGACUUUAUUUUCAUGAAGUGACAAGUGGCAUCGAUUAAAUGUCAUAUUCAUUGUGCAACUCUUUAUUCCUAUUAUAUCUUACCUUUUUAUCUAUGUAUGUGUGCGUAUUUGUCUAUGCAUGGACAAACACAGACAUCAUUGUAAUUGUUCUGAUCGCUGUUUAUUUACAUGUAUGUUGAUAUCCAAUUUUGUUUCACGCCGCAUCCAUCUAUUAGUUGCUAUAUUUUUUGCUAUCAUAGAAUGUAAUUAUCUUUUUAGCAGAUUUAUGUAGUCUGGAUCUGCUUCAUCGUAGGUUGCUUCCAUCUUUGAAACUGUCAGGUGAUUUGGUUCUUAUAAUUGAAUGACAGCCUUCCACUUGGUGGUAUCCAACAUCUGCUUUCCAGAUAACCACCUACUAAUGGCAGAGUUGAACUUAAUUUCAGUUGUGCAUGUGAUAGAUAGUUUUUUUAAGUAUCAAUCUGGAAAUUGAUCUUCUUGAACAAAAUGCACAGGUUCGAGUGCUUUGCCUGCUUAUGUAUGCUGUAGUCACACAUGCCAACAUCUAUCAGCCUAUUUUGUGGUGCAAAUGGUAUGGCACAUACAAUACAAACUUAUACGCAGAACAUACCCUAUAUAGUACCUGAUGUAUUGCAGUGGGGCAUCAUAUGGGGUAUCAUAUGACAUAUUAAGUUAUGUCAAAUAACCUGAAUAGGAAAUAGGUGUUGGAUCAAGGUUGCAGGGUCCCAGGAAUAUAAGAAGUGCCAGAGAAACCACUGAGCGUGAAGAUGUUAUGAACUAAGACUUGGCAACUAUCGUUUAGAAUAUGGAUGACACUAGUUGUAUAAAUGACAAAAGUACAGAUGGUGCAGCUCUGUGGUUGGCUUCCUAAAUACAUGGAAGCUAAAAGAAAGAUUUCUACUGAAAACUUGGUUGAGAGUGCAGGUGCCAUGCACCCAUAAGUCCUGGAGUGAUUACAACACCCUGAGUGGAAGGUCGUUGCUACUAAACCAAAACGUGAUAAAUCUAAAUCUCGCCAUUCGUCCAUAUUUCAACCUUGGAUCAGGUUCUGGUUGGAUCAUGUUCGUCGCAACCUUCUUGCAGUCAUUUCCAUAAGAAAGCUGAAAUCUAAUUAGGUUUGUCAAAUCUCCAAGAACACGUGUAUGAACCAUUGCAUGAUCAUUGCCCUGAUUUCCUCCAGUCUAGUGGGUGAUAAUUGAACCCUAUCCCCUUUUGACAAUGAAAGAGUACCCUUGCCUAGUUUUAUCUAAUGCUCUUUGCUGGGACAACUACCAGUUGGCUGUAUCAGAAUUUAAGGAACUCGAGUAUGUUUUGCCAGUAUGAUUCACAAAAGGGAGUGCACCAUUAUGCAGUCCAUCAACACACACCCUUUGUUAUAGCUGAUCAAAUUGAAAAAACUGCCAGGUACUUCAUAGUUUGUAAUUUGUAUUUCUCUGUGGUAACUGGUAAACUAUAUGGCUUAAUUCAAAUUUAAAGAGUCAGAGGGUGAUUUUUCCUUUUGAACUACCAAAAGAGCAAUUGUCAUUCCCUUUUUUGUUAUACAAUUUUUGGUGAAGAUCUAUUGCCAAUCCUUUAAAGGCAUGUCAUUAUGUUCUAUAUUACCCUUCAACAAACACAAGGAAAAGAGCCAUUGUUCUGAACCCUUUCACCAAUACAAUUUGGUCUUGAAAUUGCUUAAGGUCUUCAAUCAGCUUCUGUUAAGAUAUUGCUUAUAAAGCUAGUUUUAUUGUUCAACAUUUGGUAUCAAGUCCUAUAUAAAAAUCAACAUGCCAAAUUUUCUGUAUAUUUUGUGUUUCUUAAAAUGAGUUGUUUAUAUUUUUUUCCUUUGUCCAUCUGGUGCAGACGUUAAAUGUAAGAUCUCUAGUUUUUUGUUUUUUUGGCUCAAUGUAAGCCUUAAUUGGUAGAUCUAGCUUUCUGUGAUGACUGCAUGAUCUCAUUCUCAUGGCUUUUAGAUGUGAAUGCCUACUGCAAAUAUCUCAUAUUCUCGUCUCCUGCAAGCAGAUCUAACGAGAUAACUUCUUUCCAUUUGCAGCCACCACACUUGCCUAGACCCAGAAGCAAGAUGGAGACCCUUAUCUUUAUGACAGAAUCUCUCAAGAGUUCAAAGACUGAAGAGACAAGUUCUGCUGCCAGAGACUCAAAACACAUAUCUCUAUCAGAAGUACAGGAGGUUCAGAAACAACCAACUGCUAACGAGCCUGACAUUGAGCCAAGCACUACAACUGUGCAGAGGCCAGUUGAUCUAUAUAAGGUGCUUACUUGCAAUCUAACAAGAGAAAAUAAACAAACACUUAUUCCUGUUUUUGUUUAUUUGUUGUCGUUUUUUUUCAUCUGGUAUGUUCAAGCUUCUAAGAUGCAUGUUUGUCAUCAUGAGUUGCUGUAAAAUGGUGCAUAUGUUUGCAGUGCUCCUCUUAUGAUGGAGUUGAUCUUUAUUGGUUGCAGGCCAUUUUCUCUGAUGAAUCUGAUGAUGAUGUGGAUGGUGCUAGUCCCAGCCAAGUGGUUGAUCCUGCAAGUAAGAAUGAAGGUGCUAACACAACUUUAAACCGUUUGAUAGCAGGGGAUUUUCUAGAAUCUUUGGGUAAAGAGCUAGGACUAGAGGUUCCUCCUGAUAGGCCCUGCCAACCGUAUAAAGCCAACAGUUCAACCUUAACAGAAAAUGCUUCCAUGGGAGAUCUCAAAAUCCCAUCAACUAAUGAAAAAUCCACAUCUACAUUUGAAAUGCCCAAAGUGCUCUUGGAAAACAAGGAUGAAGCUUGCAAACCAUGGCCUCCUGAAAAUGGCAAAAACAGUGCUUCUGCUUCUAAAGCAUGGGAGAUUGAAGUUCCGCCUUUUAAUGGGGAUGGGCAUGGUCAUUGUUCCUCUUCGAAAGAUAGUUUUAACAUCUGUUUGAGGAGUGGAGUGGCUAGCGGUCGUCCUGAUGUUAAAAAUGAUAAAGUUCAAGUAGAGAAAGAUGAACUUGAUGCUAAAAUAAGUCGCUCACACUCAAAGUAUCGAAGAAGCAGGAGUAGCUCUCCAGAUACUGAUUCUUGUGAUCAACAUUGGAUUAAAAAAAGCAGAACUCACUCAAGGCAUCAUCGAGGCAGGAGCAAGACCCCAGAUACAGAUUCUUCUAGUGAUCAACAUCGUUCUAGAAAAAAUAGAACUCACUCAAGGCAUCAUCCAAGCAGGAGCAGAACUCCAGAUACUGAUUAUUAUAGUGAUCAAAAUAAAGCUAAACACAGUAGAACUCAAUCAAGGCAUCGCCAUAGGAGCACUACACCGGAUAUUGAUUCUUCUAGUGAUUGCCGGUAUCGUGAUCUCUCAAGGUCCGGAGUAGAAAAAUGUUCACCUCAAGGAAAAAGGAAAAAGCGCUCAAGACACCACAAGCACAAAAGGAGAUCUCCGGAUAGAUAUGCUAGCCGUGACAACGACAGGGAUCUCACAGAUGAUAGCAGAAAGGAUAGGAAAUCAGGGGACAGGGGAAGGCACUCUGCAAAAUCAAAAUCAGAUAGUCAUAGAAACUACCGUUGAACAUACUUAAGAUGAAAGAGAUGAAAAUCAUUCUAGAGUUGUAAGUGCUUUGUUUGCCUAUUGCUCAUUGUGCAUAGUCAAAAAAAAAUGCCAUGCUUUCUAUUUAAUUCUAUCAUGCAUUCAAUAGUUGUUUGGGAUGGAUAUCUUUUCUAUUUUCAUUUGUAUCGUGGCUUAUUUUAUAUUCUUGUAUAUUCCCGUCUAUCACUUCAGUGAUGUUUCCCACUAAGCAAAAUGGCACAUUACAUGUCUGCCUCUUCCCGUAAGUUUUUGUUGCAUUGUAGAAGAUGUUUUGCUUCUACACUUGAAGAUCUUCCAAGUACUUAUGCAGCAGCUUAUUUGGUUAUAAACUUGAAUCAACAUGUAUCGUGCUAUGCAUAAUCAUCAGGUUGCACACUUCUACUAAAUCUUGACAGCAAUAUCUGGUAUUUGAUAUAUAAACAAAAGAAUAUUGUUCCAGAAUUAUAUGCAUCUCUGUAGCUAUAUAACCAGCAUAACAGGAUGCUGUAGAAAUCCUCGUCAAGAGUAUUAAUAUUAUUCAAGUUAAUAGUUUCUAAAGAAACAAUUACAUUCUUGUCGUAUAUCUGGCUUCCGUUAUCUUGUUGUCUUUAAGCUGAUUUUGAACCUUAUCUUUUUAUUAUACGAUUGACAGGUAGCAUGUUUUGGAAAUUAGGCAUUAUGUUCCUUUUAACUUCACAUUUGUGUCAUGUGUGAUGCAAGUGGGAAGAGGAAAUAUGGAUGCUUGCAGUCUGAUGGAUGGAGUUGUGCUCGUAAUAAGAAAGACAUGGAAAGGAAAGAAUUUCAUCUGGAUAAAUGGUUGGAUUUCUCUUUUAGGCCUACUAUUUUUUUUUCUGUUUAAUUUCCCCCCUCUUAUUCUCUUAUUUGAGCCUUUCCUUAGACUCUUCCUUAGGUGUUUCAAUUUCCUUUCUUGGUUUCUUAUCUCAUGUGUGGGACUGUGGUUUUUAAAAGGAGGGAUAUCUGGCCUUCCCAUGAAUUUUGGCCCUCCUAUUAGCUCUCCCCCACCUCCCUUUCUUUUUUCCCUGAAGGUUUCUAUCUUAUGGAUAAUUAUUGAGUGGAAGUAAGGUUGAACGUUAAGGCACUCACCAGGAGUUUGCUUUACAUUAUGGUAAAGAUAGCUAUUGGGGCCUUAAAUUGUCACUGAGGGACGUUUUUCAGGUUUUCUCAAACUGGUAGAAGAGAAUUUUAACAGAAUUGGGACCUCAUCUGAAAAUAUUGCUGUGCUGCUGGCUGAGCUAAGGACUUUAGCUUCUGAAGGGAUGGUUUUGCCUUUAACGUGACCUUUUUGGGUUCUUCUGGCUGCUGUUGCUCUAGGUCAAUUGCUCUUUUUAUCAUUGCAUAGAUGUUUCAUAAUAUUGAAAUAUCAUAUUAAAUAUUUAUUUUUAAUCAACUCUUCUUAUCACUAGUUUUGUAGAAAAUUAUUUUGUUCAGAUACUUAAUAGGUGCUUCCGCAUCCUAAUCUUUUUGAAACUUCCAUGAGGCUUCCUUCUUAAACUCCUAGUACGUCCUCAUCGUGGCUCUGUUUCAUGCCUCAUUUCAUAGGAAACGUCAAAGUGGUUCCAUUAUAUUAUAUUCCAUCUAGAUCCAUCGGCCACUUAGGGUGGAGUCAGGGAUCUCAGAUCUGGCUGAAAGGUGUAGUUGAUGACAAGUGAAUAUUCCUUUACCUACAAGGCAGCAACCAAUUCCACUUUCACACCCACCCUCAGUUUAGAUAUCUAAGGGAUAAAAUCAAUUUGCAAGUUGUUUCUAAUAAUUUGUGUAUGGGUUUUUUGUGUACAUACUCUCCUAAAUAUUGAAAUUUGUAUGAAUACCCUCAUAAAAUUGAUAUUUGCAUGUAUACUCUUAUAAAAUACUUGUUUUGCGUGUAUAUCCUUUAUUUUUCUUUUUUCUUGCAUAUGUGCUCACACCAUCUAACGCCGUCAAAAAAUUAGCGGUUUAAAAUUAAAAAUGACUGAAAUAUCCUUAAUGGGUAGGUAUGCAAAAGAAAAUAUUUAUAAGGGUAUAUAUACAAAUAAUACUAUGCGAGGGUUCAUACAAUUUCACAUAUUUAGGAGGGUUUACAUGCAAAAAAAUUCUAAUUUUAUUUUUUUCUAUUUCAACCUGUUUUAACACUCAGAUUUGUCUAGGGUGGCCUUCUACCACAUGGACGUGGAGAUUGUUAAUAAAUCUGAAGGGUUCGAAGUCCUUCAAUGAUUUUGCUUGGGGAUGAUUGAUAUUGCUUUUCCACCCAUGAACAUAGCAAUAGCAAGGAAGCUUGAUCAUUGUAAUCUAUCGUUUGCCUUUAAGAGAUUCUAAUCCUUUUUCUAUAUUCUAAUGUAUGCCCUCAUAUAUGCAUCUAUAACAAUAAAUAUUAUAAGUUAUGUUUCGAUUAAAUAAGAUAUAGAGGUUGUUAUCAAUGAAGAAGAAUAAAGUAGGUUAAUCUGAUAAUUAGUGAAAGAACUUCCAUAACUCUUUUCGUUAUCUAAUUGUCGAAUCAAUUUUUUUUAAGCAAUUUUCUUAUGGAAAACAUUGAGGAGCGGGCGCUAGACAAAUUCGAGUAUUAAAACAAAUUGAAAUAGAAAAACAUAAAAUUAAAUUUUUUUGCAUAUAAAUCCUCCUAAAUAUGUAAAACUGCAUGAAUACUCUCGCAAAGUAUUAUUUGUAUAUAUACCCUUAUAAAUAUUUUCUUUUGCAUAUCUACCCUUUAAGGAUAUUUCAGUCAUUUUUAAUUUUAAACCGCUAUUUUUUGAUGGCAUUAGAUGGUGUGGGCACAUAUAUACAAAAAAAAAAAGAGAAAUAAAGGGUAUUCAUGCAAAACAAGUAUUUUAUAAGGGUAUACAUGUAAAUAUGAAUUUUAGGAGGUUAUUCAUGCAAAUUUCAAUAUUUAGGAGAAUAUCUACGCAAAAAAUCCUUUGUUUAUGGAGUUAACUAUGAUUGAAGUAUAUGUUCUUGACCUCAUGGUCUGGUAAAAACGUUACAUCCUUGCUACCCCCUGCCCCAACAAAAAAAAAAAAAAGAAACCUGCAUAUUUUGUUUGAUGGCAGUGAGAAAGAAGACUAGAACAUGUGAAGAUUUUCUAUAAUUUGUCUCAAGAAGUUGUUCUUGAGACAGGUCAUUUGCAUGUGCUUCUUAUGACGAGAGGAAAUGACAGAAUCUCUGUUAUUGUCCACAAGUUACUUAUGUUAUAAACCAUCACUUUCUUAGCUCUCUCUUUCAGGGGAGAUACAUGCUGCAUGAUAUGGGAACUAUUCUUUUUUUUUGAACAAAGUGGUCUCGGACAAUUUAUCAGAGUGCUGUGGGAAGUAUCACUCAACAUGAUUUGGUGUGGAUCGAACGCUAAAUAGCCAACAGUUGUUGUUUUUUUUAUAAUUACCUUGGACACCAUUUUGGAAUUUUUGUUGGGCAAAGCCACUAAUUCUGCGAAAUGGUGAUUGAAGUGAUGUUUAUUCCAUGUAUUAAAGUUGGAUAAACCUGCCUUCCUGGUUUCCAUUGACUAUGGGUGUAGUUCUUUUUUCAGUUAUGUAGCUAUUUUGGGAAUCUCAGUACUUUUGAAUUGGAUUAUGAUUCUUAGGAACAAGGUAUGCCAUACCAUAUCGAACCGCAUGGUACGGGACGUAUUAUAAUGUACCAGUACGUGGUAUCGGGGGCAUACCGACACUCAGUAUGCCGAAUUGGCCCCUGUACUAGGCAUGCUGAUAUAGUAACAGGGUGGCACCAGUACAGGAUCCCGAUACCCACAGCAUACCUUGCUUAGGAAUAUGGUUGUAGUGUUCCCUUGCUAGUAGGAGUAUUUUGUUCACUUACAUUGUAGGUGGACGGGUCAAAUGCCUUUUUGUAUCUGAAGGUUUAUUAGAGUCCAUAAAGCCUUGCCGACCAAGGGAGUCAAAGUGCCUGUAGGCAAUGUGCCACUCCCUUGAUAAAUCUUAUGUAUAAUGUCUGGGAGCAGAAGCAAAGAAUUGAGCAUGCUAAAGAUCAUAUCUAAUUAUUUUGAUUGAUAUCUUAUGCAAUUUAAAUACUUCAGAAGUUUGAAUUUUAAUUUUUUUGCUAAAUUCCUAUACAAUAGUUCAAAAGAGUCCAAAUGUUUCAAAAGAUUGCAUAAAGUAUAGCUAUCAUAAUCUAUAAACGGCACACUAAAAUUAUAAGAAUGUAAAAUUACUGUCUAGAUAACUAAAUAAUCUGCGAUACUGUUGGGCUUAUAUAAUUUAUUGCUUCUAAUUUUUAAAUUAGUAGCAAUAUUAUCAAUUAUAUAAGUGGAUGGGCACAGACAGACAGCUUGCUGUUGAGGGAGCCACUUUGAAAGCCAAGCAUAUGCCUUAAGUGGGCCUAUUCAGGUUAAGUCUAGGCAGUAGACCCUUCUGGAGCAGCAUCUUUGGCUUCAGUUGAAUUAACAAAUUGUUUAGCUGCUUCUGUCAUCAUGAUAAAAAGUCCUAUCUCGCUCCUACUCAUGGCUGAUUUUAGUGAAAACAUAUCAUUGCCACCUAUCAACAGAUACUGCGAUACAUGAAUUACCAUUUGUCAAUGUUUCGACUUAUUUGACACUGCACAUUUAUUUCUAUAUCCGAUUAUAUAUUUGUAUUCCAGUUUCUUUGUCUUAUUCUGAUCUUCUUUGCUCAUCUACAAGCACUUAGCAGAUAAGUGCUGCUUUUCUUUAAACUAUCUGUGCUAGGCAUCCGAUUCCUUGUGUGUGAAAUCAUGUUUCGUUUUUGAUAGUUUAGUCUUUCUAUGAUCUUGGCAUUAGAUGUCUUCUGACAGAGGCAUUCACUACAAGCUAGGACGGAUUACUGCUCUGUGAUUUGAGCUGGAAAGAGAAGAAUGCAGAGAGCCUGUUGCAUGUUUUGUUUUGGUGGUAUGCUUGUGUUUUGAGCCUUAUUGAUACUUCUUUCUCUUCUUGUUAUCUCAACAUGAUAUUUGUCUUGUUACUUUAUCUUCUUAUAUUCCAUCUAAGAAGGCUUCAACUAAUAGUGUGCUAACAUACUUGCGACCAGGAAGCUGUUCAGUGUGGAAGCAUUUAUUUUUGAACAGGAAAAUUAUUCUAAGUGGUUCGGCAUAUCAUAGCCUUAAAUGCAGAAGGCCAGACCUUCUGCGAAAGCUAAAUCCUGUAAGCAAAGUUGUUCCUAAAGAGCAAGGAGGUUCUUUAAAUUACAGAACACUUCAAAAGAGAAGUUGCUUUUUGUCUGUCUUAAAGAGUGCCUUUGCCGUACCGCAAUUAGGAGGUUGAAAACCAUGCUUGUUUUGGCAUUUGGCUCUUGGAUUUUGUUAUCAUAUGAUGCUAUGACAACCAUCUUAAUGAAUAACGCUCACUGCCCUCCAAAUUUGAAACGAAGCAUUAUAUGCCUGGUCUUGCACCUGCCAGUUAUAUAUAUAUAUAUAUAUAUAUAUAUGCGACGAACGGGNNNNNNNNNNNNNNNNNNNNNNNNNNNNNNNNNNNNNNNNNNNNNNNNNNNNNNNNNNNNNNNNNNNNNNNNNNNNNNNNNNNNNNNNNNNNNNNNNNNNNNNNNNNNNNNNNNNNNNNNNNNNNNNNNNNNNNNNNNNNNNNNNNNNNNNNNNNNNNNNNNNNNNNNNNNNNNNNNNNNNNNNNNNNNNNNNNNNNNNNNNNNNNNNNNNNNNNNNNNNNNNNNNNNNNNNNNNNNNNNNNNNNNNNNNNNNNNNNNNNNNNNNNNNNNNNNNNNNNNNNNNNNNNNNNNNNNNNNNNNNNNNNNNNNNNNNNNNNNNNNNNNNNNNNNNNNNNNNNNNNNNNNNNNNNNNNNNNNNNNNNNNNNNNNNNNNNNNNNNNNNNNNNNNNNNNNNNNNNNNNNNNNNNNNNNNNNNNNNNNNNNNNNNNNNNNNNNNNNNNNNNNNNNNNNNNNNNNNNNNNNNNNNNNNNNNNGAUUGAAGGGAUCGAUAAUUAUUAUGUCGCCUCUGUUAAAUGGAAAGACCAGAUUGUAUAGUAUCCCGUUGAAACACAACUCUCUUUUAAAGAAUGCAUUAGUAUUGAAAUAUGAUUUUUUGCUUGUUCAUCAUCCGAUUUCUAGUUCUUUUCGAAAUGACAAUAGAUGUGGCUGCACAAUCUAAUAUCAAGUAACAUUACCAAAUCUAUCGAGGGGGACCCUUGGAUAUAAGUUUAUUAAGAUGUCAGACUUGUACAAAACCAUUUGGGCGUUGGUACCGGUUGAGGGUUGCUAAAACAAUAUUAGAAAAAUUAAGCAAUAAUUUAAAUUCAUCCUCACUGCCAGGAUGGCGCAGGAAUUGGUGAUAUAUAUUGAUCAAUAAUUUGAUAUGGUCCUCUUAAGACAACAUAGGCGGUGCUCUUUUCCCAAAAAAAAAGAAAAAAAAGAAUGGGCUUGGUCAUCAAAAUAGCCUAUCAAAAGAUAUUGCUAAACAAAACAAUUUCCUAGGAUGCGUUUAAUAUUUUGCCGAUUUAUGGUUGUGAAGUUGGUUUCCCUCUGAAAUUCUGUUUGAUGAUUAUGAUGUACAAGUAGGUGAGCUGUGGUUUGUCCUGUUAGAUAAGAGAGGUGGCCCUUGGGCAAGAAUGCAUGACCAUCACAAGGCAAGCCUAAUCUCGAUGUAGUCUCACCUGCUCUAAGGUUUCUUAUUUGCCGUUUGCUGCUGCAAAGGUUAAUAUGGAGAGUCAUAGCUAAAGAAACAAGUGUUGGGUGCUUGAUGGGAUCAUUAGGUGAAUAGCUUGGGAUCUCGCAUUACGCAUGUUUGGCUUUAUCCUGAACUUUGUUUUGGCUUGACAGAACGAAAGGAAAGAUAAUUUAUGUGCUGGCCAAGCAUUUCCAAGAAUGCUGGUUGGGUUCAUUGUCUUGAUGAUUUUGAUGGGCUAUCCAUACUGUUUUAUUUUAACCCAUGGUUGGUGUCGCUGGCUUGGUUUUUCUUUUUAAUACAUGGUCACUAAGUCAGUGCCCAUCAAAGCAAUAUGGUAAUCCAUGACUCAUUGGUAACCCACAAUUUGGGUCAAUGACAUUGCUAAAUUCUUUAUUCAAACGUAGUUGAUGGGUAGCUAUUUUUUCUAUGUCCAUUGAUGUCAUUCAUUCACAUACAGAACAAUAAUUAAUAAUAAAGGAGAGAUGGGUGGCUUGGGGGACCGCCAACCAAUCCGAAGGGCGUCCAAAAAAUAAAAGUUCUCCAGUAAAGUGCCAAUCCAUAGCUAGAAAAGAUAAGAGAGCAUCUGCUUAAAUGAACGCCAUUUGUCAUUUAAUGAGUUGUUCCUCCUUGAGACUACAAUUUCUAAAAGCAACUUGGGAUGUGGCUGCCUUUGCUGUUGAACAACGCAAUAAAUGACGCAGCUAACCAUGUGGCUUACUCAAAAGUUGACACUAUUUUAACAAUGCUAAGAUGCAGCUGUCUUUAUUCAAGAUUUACUUCAUGCAACCAAAGAGAUUGAGGCACGAAGGAGAUGUGCCUGGCCUGGAGUGGAGCACGGCAUUCAAUGGUGAGGCUCCAAAUGGCAGUUUUCCGUCGGACAGAGCAAAGGCAUACCUCUCCACAGGCCAAACCAAACCUAUCGGGAUUCCCAAGUUUUCCAAUCCGAAGCCAAGGAUUGGAAGGUGAAACUUUCUGGUUGUCAAGUGAUCAGCUUAGCAUUGUAAUGAAGGGCAUUUUGAUAAGACUGGCUUCAGGCAUGAGCCAUGCACGUAUCUUGUGAAAUUAGAUACUUUUCUUUUGCAUGGCCAUUAUCAGUGAGCAAGAAGAUUUUGUAAUGUGCUCAUGGAUGAUCAACUCAAGAGCUCAUGACGAGACACCGCGGAAGCUAGAUAUAUGCUGUGAGGUGGCAGGAUUUAUCAAAAAAAAGAAAAAGGUAGCCCAAGGGCAAUCUCAUGUAUGGACAUAUACACAAGCAAACAAUUAUGUAGGAAUUAGUUGUUAUUAUCCACUAUCUUAUGUUUUCCUCAAAUUAGUUGGCUAAUAGCAUGAUAAAACAUAAUUAUUUUUGAUCUAUCUAUGUGGUUGCCCUCAUGAUAGGUUUUUACAUAGACAUGCAAAUUUUAUGAUUAUUAAUAAUAUAAAAGAGAGUUUAAGUUAAUGUCUCAUUAGAUAUGCCAAUUAAAGCCCUCACUAAACCCCACCCAAACACAAG